UUCCAUAUUGGUAUAAUGAGUUGCUUAACAAGCAGCAAGCAACGCCCCAAGAAGCCAGCCCAAUUUAACGGCUCUUGCUCUAGUUUUAACACAUAAUCUUGUCACGUGUGUGGCCAGCGUUAAUUUGCGGUCAAGUGUGACUCCCAGAUCACGCAGCGUGUAUAUGACAUGCGCUGUCUUUGUCGCAUUGAUCUUGAAGCACAAUUUCUUAGACCAUUUUACGAAGUGGUGCAAGUACUGUUGGGUCUCGCUUAUCGCAUUGGCCGGAUGAUCAGCAGAGCACAUGAUGACUAUGUCAUCCGCAUAUGUUGCCAACAGCAUCGACCUUUCAUUCGGCUGAAGAUGGCGACGAUUUUGCGUGAGUAGUGGCAGCGGCAUGUCAGAGGAGUAAAUUGUAUUCAAAAUUGGGCCCAAGACGCCGCCCUGUGGGACACCAGCUGAUAUGCAGCCGACUCUGGAUGUUACUCCAUCAUUGCAUUUGACUGCAAAAGUGCGAUCAGACAGACCCUCAUGCCAUACUCUAUCGAACGCUUCCGAUAUGUCAAUGUAGAUGGCCGAGCAGUAUUGUCGUUCUUCGUAGGCCCUUAAUAUAUGCUGAGUAACUCUGGCCAACUGGUGCUCCGUGCCGUGCUCGCGACGAAAGCCAAAUUGGUGGCUGGGCACAGCAGUUGCAAAAUCCUUGUGCUCAAACAGGCGCUUGAGCAGGAGUUUCUCGAGGAGUUUUGCAAGGCCAGAUAUCAGGCUGAUUGGUCUGUAAGAUGCCACAUCUUCUGGAGAUUUACCUGGUUUGAGACACAUAGUGAUCUCGGCGUAUUUCCAACAUUUAGG